AUGGGCCAGGAAAAUGUGACUAAUGCCAGCUGUGAGAAACUCUGCAAGGCAGAGCAGCCUUUUGGCCUGAACCAAACAGCUCCUUGCUACCAGGAGGAGGAGGAGCUGUCCCAGGAGCUCAGCUCCUUCAUUUUGGGAAGGUGCCCUCCUGUAGAUGCUGUGAAGGAGCCAGGGGAGGCAAAUGAAGGCGCCAGGUUAUCGGACUUGGAGAAAGGAGAGCCUGAAGGAAGAGUGUUUCAGGAGUUGUUCCUAGGUUCUGCUGAAUCCAUCAGAAAUAAAGAAUUAGGUGUUAGAGGCGAGGGGCAACCUGGAUGUAUAAAGGAAGCCGAACUGCUGUUCUCAAAAUCCCUUAUCCUCCACAUUGCCUGCGAGAUCUGGCAUUUGCUGAAGAGCCAAGGAGAGGAGCAAGCUGCUAAGAAUGGAGCAACUCUUAAAGGGGUAUUUAUUCGUGGCUAA
rnacentral:lncRNA from 1 species